UUUCAAUGGCAAAUAAUUUCUAUCACACCAAGCAACCAAAUUGUUUAUGUCGGUUUGCUACAUACACUUUUUCAGUAGAAAAGGGAUAUCGUUAAUAAAUAACAACAACAGAAUCUGGCCAAGUUGACUACCUUGCGGAACACCUGAUGAGAAAUUAAUUGCAUCUGAAAGACUCUCACGUUGUCUGGAGUUUGUAAAGAAAAUGGAACGAAGCAAAGAAAGGAAAGAAAAAUUCUUUCAAAAUGGGCAACAAACAAAGUUUCGUCCUUUUUUUUUUUAAAACACAAUAUUCCUGCAAUAAAUAACUAAUUCGAACAUACAGCGAACCUUUUAUAGAAAUUCGAAAAAAAUAUAUACUUUAUAUUUUAUUUACAA